GAGUUUGAUCCUGGCUCAGAACGUACGCUGGCGGCACGCCUAACACAUGCAAGUCGAACGAAGUAGCAAUACUUAGUGGCAGACGGGUGAGUAACAUGUAGGUAUCUGCCCUUUGGCCUGGAAUAACACGAGGAAACUUGUGCUAAUACCGGAUAAGUCUUUACGGAGAAAGCUUUAUGCACCAUUGGAUGAGCCUGCACUUGAUUAGUUUGUUGGUGGGGUAAUGGCCUACCAAGACUGUUAUCAAUAGCUGAUUUGAGAGGAUGAUCAGCAAAUUGGGACUGAGACACGGCCCAAACUCCUACGGGAGGCAGCAGUGGGGAAUCUUGCACAAUGGAGGAAACUCUGAUGCAGCGAUGCCGCGUGAGUGAAGAAGGCCCUUGGGUUGUAAAGCUCUUUCGUCGGGGAAGAAAAUGACUGUACCCGAAUAAGAAGGUCCGGCUAACUUCGUGCCAGCAGCCGCGGUAAUACGAAGGGACCUAGCGUAGUUCGGAAUUACUGGGCUUAAAGAGUUCGUAGGUGGUUGAAAAAGUUGGUGGUGAAAUCCCAGAGCUUAACUCUGGAACUGCCAUCAAAACUUUUUCAGCUAGAGUUUGAUAGAGGAAAGCAGAAUUUCUAGUGUAGAGGUGAAAUUCGUAGAUAUUAGAAAGAAUACCAAUUGCGAAGGCAGCUUUCUGGAUCAUUACUGACACUGAGGAACGAAAGCAUGGGUAGCGAAGAGGAUUAGAUACCCUCGUAGUCCAUGCCGUAAACGAUGUGUGUUAGACGUUGGAAAUUUAUUUUCAGUGUCGCAGCGAAAGCGAUAAACACACCGCCUGGGGAGUACGACCGCAAGGUUAAAACUCAAAUGAAUUGACGGGGACCCGCACAAGUAGUGGAGCAUGUGGUUUAAUUCGAAGAUACGCGCAGAACCUUACCAACACUUGACAUGUUCGUCGCGACUCUAAGAGAUUAGAGUUUUCGGUUCGGCCGGACGAAACACAGGUGCUGCAUGGCUGUCGUCAGCUCGUGUCGUGAGAUGUUGGGUUAAGUCCCGCAACGAGCGCAACCCCUAUCUUUAGUUGCCACCAUUUAGUUGGGCACUUUAAAGAGACUGCCAGUGAUAAGCUGGAGGAAGGCGGGGAUGACGUCAAGUCCUCAUGGCCCUUAUGUGUUGGGCUACACACGUGCUACAAUGGCACUUACAAUGGGAAGCAAAGAGGCGACUCCUAGCCAAUCCCUAAAAUGUGCCUCAGUUCGGAUUGUACUCUGUAACUCGAGUACAUGAAGCUGGAAUUGCUAGUAAUCGCGGAUCAGCGCGCCGCGGUGAAUACGUUCCCGGGUCUUGUACACACCGCCCGUCACACCAUGGAAGUUGGUUACACCUUAAGGCAAAGCUUAUACCUUUGACUACGGUACGAUCAGCAACUGGGGUGAAGUCGUAACAAGGUAACC
rnacentral:rRNA from 1 species